AGAAGCAGAAGAACGAACAGCCGCGAUGGUCGCCGUUCCACCUCAAAUAUGGCGUCGCCGCAACAACCACUUCAGGAAGCCGACGAGGAGCACAAGGCCGUCCUCAAACGUCGCGUCACAGAGCCAUGCUGCUUCUACUGGGCUGAUUUGAGCAAUCAAGAAUAGACCUUGGUACGAUUUGUGCUGAAGCACCGCAGAAUGUUGUACUUGCGUUGGUAAAUCAAACACGAAAAAACCGGUGCUACCAAAUCCAACAACUUCGCUCAAGCACUGGCCAAGCACUUUGAGACAGUCAUCGCACAAUUUCCAGGCCAGCACACCGUGGCUGGUGGCUGGGUGGCUAAAUUCAGGUGAGUAUCUCUUGGACCCACAGUGUUGCUGACAUUGAAGCGGGGUUUGUAGUGGACCUUGAACUAUCUAAACAUGGUUUUAAUGCCUU